GAUGAACGCUGGCGGCGUGCCUAAUACAUGCAAGUCGAGCGAACGGACGAGAAGCUUGCUUUUCUGAUGUUAGCGGCGGGCGGGUGAGUAACACGUGGAUAACCUACCUAUAUGACUGGGAUAACUUCGGAAAACCGGAGCUAAUACCGGAUAAUAUUUUGAACCGCAGUGUUCAUAAGUGAAAGACGGUCUUGCUGUCACUUAUAGAUGGAUCCGCGCUGCAUUAGCUAGUUGGUAAGUUAACGGCUUACCAAGGCAACGAUGCAUGGCCGACGUGAGAGAGUGAUCGGCCACACGAGAACUGAGCCACGGACCAGACUCCUACGGGAGGCAGCAGUAGGGAAUCGUCCGCAGUGGGCGAGAGCCUGACGGAGCAGCGCCGAGUGAGUGAUGAAGGUCUUCGGAGCGUAAAACUCUGUUAUUAGGGAAGAACAGAUGUGUAAGUUACUGUGCACAUCGUGACGGUACCUAAUCAGAAAGCCACGGCUAACUACGUG
rnacentral:rRNA from 1 species